GAUCUGGCUCAGGAUGAACGCUGGCGGCGUGCUUAACACAUGCAAGUCGAACGAGGGCGAUAGCAAUAUUGCCCGAGUGGCGGACGGGUGAGUAACGCGUGAACAAUCUGCCUGUAUCAGGGGAAUAACACUAAGAAAUUGGUGCUAAUACCGCAUAAGACCACGGAGAGGCAUCUCCCCGGGGUAAAAAGAAUAAUCGGAUACAGAUGAGUUCGCGUCCCAUUAGGUAGUUGGUGAGGUAACGG
rnacentral:rRNA from 1 species